rnacentral:rRNA from 1 species
GACGAACGCUGGCGGCGUGCUUAACACAUGCAAGUCGAACGGAAAGGCCCCCACCUUGGUGGGGGUGCUCGAGUGGCGAACGGGUGAGUAACACGUGGGUGAUCUGCCCUGUACUUCGGGAUAAGCUUGGGAAACUGGGUCUAAUACCGGAUAGGACCAUGGUUUAGUGUCUCAUGGUGGAAAAAUUAUUGUUUUGGUGCAGGAUGAGCUCGCGGCCUAUCAGCUUGUUGGUGGGGUAAUGGCCUACCAAGGCGUCGACGGGUAGCCGGCCUGAGAGGGUGGACGGCCACAUUGGGACUGAGAUACGGCCCAGACUCCUACGGGAGGCAGCAGUGGGGAAUAUUGCACAAUGGGCGCAAGCCUGAUGCAGCGACGCCGCGUGGGGGAUGACGGCCUUCGGGUUGUAACC